UACGUAGGGGGCAAGCGUUGUCCGGAUUUAUUGGGCGUAAAGAGCGUGUAGGCGGCCAGGUAGGUCUGCUGUGAAAACUCGAGGCUCAACCUCGAGACGUCGGUUGAAACCACCUGGCUAGAGUCCGGAAGAGGAGAGUGGAAUUCCUGGUGUAGCGGUGAAAUGCGCAGAUAUCAGGAAGAACACCCGUGGCGAAGGCGGCUCUCUGGGACGGUACUGACGCUGAGACGCGAAAGCGUGGGGAGCGAACAGG
rnacentral:rRNA from 1 species